GAUGAAGAACGCAGCGAAAUGCGAUAAGUAAUGUGAAUUGCAGAAUUCAGUGAAUCAUCGAGUCUUUGAACGCACAUUGCGCCCGCCAGUAUUCUGGCGGGCAUGCCUGUUCGAGCGUCAUUACAACCCUCAGGCCCCCGGGCCUGGCGUUGGGGAUCGGCGGAGCCCCCCGUGGGCACACGCCGUCCCCCAAAUGCAGUGGCGGUCCCGCCGCAGCUUCCAUCGCGUAGUAGCUAACACCUCGCGACUGGAGAGCGGCGCGGCCACGCCGUAAAACACCCAACUCUUCUGAAGUUGACCUCGAAUCAGGUAGGAAUACCCGCUGAACUUAAGCAUAUCAAUAAGCGGAGGA
rnacentral:misc_RNA from 1 species